GAAAAAGUAAGAAACUUAUGGUGAAAUUUGGGAGAAUUGAAAGGAGAAAAUAAGGAUUUUGGAGCACUAUUGGCGACUGUCAAAACUGCAGAUUGAUCCUAUUGGUCGUUGUUGGUUGCUGUUCUUGCAAAGUUGGAGAAUUUGUCAUUAGCGAGAUACCGUUGCAGAGGGAGAGACUAGUGGCUGACGAUUCUUACGCGCGAAUUCCAUUGCUGAAGUAAACCUUCCCAUUAGUCGUGAAGGCUGUCAUUCAACGUUAGACCUUUUAGACUACAUUUCUUUUCAUUGGGCUUGCAUGCCCGAAAGUUAAACUCAUGUAACUCUGUUUAGAUGCUCCAUGAACUUAG